GGUUGGUUUGAGUGCAGUAGUGUUUACAGUGAACUGAUCACAGCCAGUUACAGAUUUUUGUUCCUUCUCCACUCCCACUGCUUCACUUGACUAACCUAAA
ensembl:misc_RNA Y_RNA Y RNA